UCCCUGAAGGGCUCAGCCGCCAGGCCAGUCCUCGCCCGCGGAGGCCCAGCCCCAGGCCCCGUCGCCGGUGCGGCGCGGUGGUCCUCCUGUCAGCCCAGCCCUGCGCCCCGCGAGGCCGCGACACCUGCGGACGGCGGGGGGGAGACGUGGCCGCUCCCAGGGCCGCGCGUCGGCCCUGCCUGGCGACAGGCCCUGGCUUCCAGAAGUUCCCAUGGCAGUGUCCCCAGCUGCCUUUCCUUGGGGACACCUGGCCCCUGCCCCCUCUCUGGUGGAAGCCGCCUAAGCCCUAUCCGAGUGUUGGAAGCAAAGCAGCCCCCAGCCUGGCCCUUCCAGUCUUGGUGGCUUCAUCCCACCAGGGGGAUGCGAGCCAGCCUAGAGACAGUUAGCUCUGCAGAGAGGCGACACAUCUCCCUAAGGAUGGGAAAACGGUGGCCGGGAGCUGCGCAGUGCCCUUCCAGGACUGCAGGAGUGGUUGUGGCCGUGGCUGCAGGGCAGGGCCUCCUGGCACGUGGCCGCUGUUUGAAGCCUCUGUCUCUUGUCUCUCCCUUCUGAUCUAGCUCUGGCAGGCUGCCCUGAGCACGCUCAACCCCAACCCCACGGACAGCUGUCCCCUCUACCUGAACUACGCCACCGUGGCUGCCCUGCCCUGCAGGGUGAGCCGGCACAACAGCCCCUCGGCCGCCCACUUCAUCACGCGGCUGGUGCGGACCUGCCUGCCGCCCGGAGCCCAUCGCUGCAUUGUGAUGGUCUGCGAGCAGCCGGAGGUCUUUGCUUCCGCCUGUGCCCUGGCCCGGGCCUUCCCGCUGUUCACCCACCGCUCAGGUGCCUCUCGGCGCUUGGAGAAGAAGACGGUCACCGUGGAGUUUUUCCUGGUGGGACAAGACAACGGGCCGGUGGAGGUGUCCACAUUGCAGUGCUUAGCGAAUGCCACAGACGGCGUGCGGCUAGCGGCCCGCAUCGUGGACACACCCUGCAAUGAGAUGAACACCGACACCUUCCUCGAGGAGAUUAACAAAGUUGGAAAGGAGCUGGGGAUCAUCCCAACCAUCAUCCGAGAUGAGGAACUGAAGACGAGAGGAUUUGGAGGAAUCUAUGGGGUUGGCAAAGCUGCCCUGCAUCCCCCAGCCCUGGCCGUCCUCAGCCACACCCCAGAUGGAGCCACGCAGACCAUCGCCUGGGUGGGCAAAGGCAUCGUCUAUGACACUGGAGGCCUCAGCAUCAAAGGGAAGACUACCAUGCCGGGGAUGAAGCGAGACUGCGGGGGUGCUGCGGCCGUCCUGGGGGCCUUCAGAGCCGCAAUCAAGCAGGGUUUCAAAGACAACCUCCACGCUGUGUUCUGCUUGGCUGAGAACUCGGUGGGGCCCAACGCGACAAGGCCAGAUGACAUCCACCUGCUGUACUCAGGGAAGACGGUGGAAAUCAACAACACGGACGCCGAGGGCAGGCUGGUGCUGGCAGAUGGCGUGUCCUAUGCUUGCAAGGACCUGGGGGCCGACAUCAUCCUGGACAUGGCCACCCUGACCGGGGCUCAGGUGAGUGCUCCCUGGAUCCACCCCUUAGCUGUGGUCCCAGGGAACCCCACCCCACUCUUGACCUCGAGGUGGGGAAGGCAGCGCGUGGGGGCUGCCGUCAGGAAGUUUUCAUAACUGGGCACGAGGAGGCAGGAGGAGCUGCCCGUCAAGCUUGGUGUGGGCAGUGCCGAGGCCCAGGCUGGAUGCAGAGCUGGGAACCGCCUCCUGUGUGCUUCAUGGCCAUGGUCCUUUCUGCCUGUGUUUUUUCUUUUUUUCUCAACCGUCUCUUUUCUGGCUCCCUUAUUUCUCUGUCUGCCUCCCGGUCCCUCUUUUGCCUUGGGUGUUUCUCUCCUGCCGUCCCGUCCACACGCUUCCCGGGUUCCUGCCCGCCCAGGGCAUUGCCACAGGGAAGUACCACGCCGCGGUGCUCACCAACAGCGCUGAGUGGGAGGCCGCCUGUGUGAAGGCGGGCAGGAAGUGUGGGGACCUGGUGCACCCGCUGGUCUACUGCCCCGAGCUGCACUUCAGCGAGUUCACCUCAGCUGUGGCGGACAUGAAGAACUCAGUGGCGGACCGAGACAACAGCCCCAGCUCCUGUGCUGGCCUCUUCAUCGCCUCACACAUCGGCUUCGACUGGCCCGGAGUCUGGGUCCACCUGGACAUUGCUGCACCGGUGCAUGCCGGUGAGCGAGCCACAGGCUUCGGUGUGGCCCUCCUGCUGGCGCUCUUUGGCCGUGCCUCUGAGGACCCUCUGCUGAACCUGGUGUCCCCACUGGGCUGUGAGGUGGAUGUCGAGGAGGGGGACGUGGGGAGGGACUCCAAGAGACGCAGGCUUGUGUGAGCCUCCUGCCUCGGCCCUGACAAACGGGGAUCUUUUACCUCACUUUGCACUGAUUAAUUUUAAGCAAUUGAAAGAUUGCCCUUCAUAUGGGUUUUGGUUUGUCUUUCUGGUCGUCAGCAUGGUGGUGGAAACAGCUAAAGUUUUAGGAGACGGCUUAGGGUUUGGUGCGGGCCACGGGGAGGGGACCGGGAAGCGCUGGGGCUUGUUUCUGUUACUUACAGGACUGAGACAUCUUCUGUAAACUGCUACCCCUGGGGCCUUCUGCACCCCGGGGUGAGGCCUCCUGCCUGCCUGGUGCCCUGUCCCAGCCCCAGGUCCUGUGCAGGGCACCUGCGUGGCUGACAGCCAGGCUCUUACUCCAGCCGGGGCUGCCAGCGCAUCCAGCCAGCCCAGCCCUGUGAAAGAUGGAGCUGACUUGCUGCAGGGGACCUGAUUUAUAGGGCAAGAGAAGUCACACUCUGGCCUCUCAGAAUUCACUUGAGGUUCAAUUAAAUACAGUCACACCACCCCCUCACCUGGCCUCGUUCUUCUUUCUCCCCCUCCAUUUUAGAAACGGGUCCUGGAGCCCAUCUAGGGAAUGUAGUGCAGGGCUGCCUCCUGCUUCUCCCAGACCGGCUCUGGCUUUGAGCCCCAGCUGGUCAACCCAGUGUUGAUGACAGGAGCCCAGGACCUGGGGAGGAGGACAGGGGGCCACUGGGCCUAGGCCUGGCCUUCCUGACCAUUUUGAUUUUCUGGGUGCACACAGCACAGACUCCAGGUGGAAGUGCUGUGGGCUCCUGAACUCUCUACAGCCCGGCAGCCUGCACGGAGGCCGUUCUGUCUCUCGAGGGUCCUGGAGCCUGCGCUGUGUGAGGUCGACUGUGCUUCCGUGCCCCUGGGCACUGUCCUAGGUGAUAAAGGGCAGGGCCCCGAAGCCAAUUCGGAUCUCCCGGGAGCCCCGCCAGGAUUCAGGGAACCCCUGAACCUGGGCUCCAGGAAAAGCAGCUGGGCCACCAAUCCUCCUGCGCCACCCACCACUUAGCCAUCGGGCCGUCUUCAGGGCAUCGGCCAGCCUCAGCUGCUGCAGCCAGACCCUGGCGUUGUGGAAGGCUGGCCAGUCCACAUCCUGCAGCCUACGAGGAGGUCAGGUCUUUGUCAGCAAAGGUGGGAAACCAGGGGAACGGCGGCACCAGGCUCCAGAGACAUUUGAAAUGACUUCAGAAGACCCAGGGCCACUCAGGGUGACCACAUCGGACAGCUGCCCCUGACAGGCUGUGACGGAUGUUUAAGGAAGGGAUCGAUGGUCACCUGACUCUCAGGAGUGCAGGAGAGGCCACUGAGACCCAUUCAGAAGGGACUGGGUGUUGGUCCCUGUGGACUCGGCCUCUGGCUGGUGGUGAGGAGGAUUUCUCACCAGCCAUCCUCUGGCCCCUGCUGCCUAAGGGAGCAGACUCGUGUGAGCUGGGUUCCGGGAAGUCCGUCUCCAGCAGGAACUCCAGGCCAAGCGCACAUCUCUGUGAUCGUGUGUCACCAUGGCGGUGCGUGCGUGAGAGCAUGCGUCUCCAGCAGGAACCCAGGCCAAGCGCACAUCUCUGUGAUCGUGUGUCACCAUGGCGGUGCGUGCGUGAGUGCAUGCGUGUGCACUGGUCUGUGGCCUGUGGUGCGUGAGUUCCACUAGGACCCAUGUGAGGUGGAGGGUCUUCCACCUCCCCUCCCAUUCGGGCCCUCCCUGUGCCACACAGACACCCAUCUGUGCCUUCCCCUUCUGUGCCACCAAAAAUGGAAGAGAUAGACACUUAAAAGAAGCAACUCAAAUGGAAUGAAAUCGUUUCUGUUGGGGAAUGCUCAGACGUUCAAUCAUCUUAGAAAAUCCCACCCCACCUCCCGCUGCAGAUUAAUUACUGUAAGUGCAACUCCAAUCGGGCUGGUGACCCCCCAGGAAACCUCUGAAGCUGUCCCAGGCUGUUCCCAACAUGGGACCUCCACUCUGGCACACCAGGACCCGAGGCCCCUGACAGGCUCCUCGUUCCUGCCUCGCUCAAGGCUCAGGUCCCCCACCUGAAAUACCCCCUCCCACCAGCAUCUCCUGCCUCGCUCCUGCUGCCAGGUCCCCAAAAGCUCUUGUUCAUGAGCUCGCCUGCCAUCCACAGCCCCCACCAGAACCCAAGUGGCUGUGGAAUUCGCUGCCCUGAUUCUCUGCCCAGAGCCUCGGUCCAGACUGUGUUCCCUGGCGAAUUAGUGUUCAGCAUUUUUGUUUAUUUGUUUGUUCUUUAACAAAAGUUGUUUUGGUUUGAGAUUCAGCAAAAAUACACACUGCAUUCAGCUUCCUCUCCAUUCAGGAUUCAGUAAAUUGGUUGUUUUCCCGUCUGCUUCG
rnacentral:sRNA from 1 species